GCAAUGUCACUGUCGUACGGGUGCGUAACGGGUAUGCAACCUACCUAUCACUGGGGGAUAGCCCGGGGAAACCCGGAUUAAUACCGCAUAACACAGGGGUCCCGCAUGGGUACUUAUUUGUUAAAGAUUUAUCGGUGGUAGAUGGGCAUGCGUUCGAUUAGCUAGUUGGCGGGGUAACGGCCCACCAAGGCGACGAUCGAUAGGGGAGCUGAGAGGUUGAUCCCCCACACGGGCACUGAGAUACGGGCCCGACUCCUACGGGAGGCAGCAGUAGGGAAUAUUGGGCAAUGGAUGGAAGUCUGACCCAGCCAUGCCGCGUGCCGGACGAAGGCCCUCAGGGUUGUAAACGGCUUUUAUUCGGGAAGAAGAGCAGGGAUGCGUCCUUGUGUGACGGU
rnacentral:rRNA from 1 species